GGCUACGAGAGUUGUAUGGUGAAAACCAAUGGUUUAAUGCAAUUAAACACCAUGGUGGUCCCUGCAUGCAAACCAUCACAUCCUUGUUGAACAACAAUUUCUGAAUUAACACGGCAAGGUGGAACUCGACACCUUGAUGCUUAUCUUGUUAACGCUUUGUUAGCUGGAGGAGGUCCUCUUCCCCAAGUUAUAAGAGCUUUUGGGAUGUCAAGUUUCAGGUGCAAAUUUCAGGAUAACAAACAUUAUCUAGAAUUUUUCGGCUUGCUUUCGGAUGCUUUUUCUGGAAAAGAGAGUAUUAAAAAAAAAAAAGGUCUAAAGAUGGAUAAGGAAAAAAUAAGAACAAUGACAAAAGCAGAGAAAAGAAAAGAAAGACCAAUUAGUAGUUGAUCCAAUCCUAACCUACCCUAGAAAGAAAAAACAAUCAAUAGAAGAAAACUAGGUAGAAAAAGCUAAAACCAGGGAUUCAAGAGCUGCCAAAACAUAUAAAGAAGGAUCCAAGAAAAUGACAUACCUCCAAACCAAUCUAGCCACUCCAAUAUUAUUAAAAAAUGGCUAGUAAUUUUUAGUCUUUUCCAGUAGAAGUGCCUUAAUCCAUAACUUUGCUGUCCCUUGUUCAGCAGAAUCGACGCAUUUGAUUGGGAAAAAGUGGCAGAUUGAUCCUGUUCUAGCAGAAAUUACCACUCUCACAUGUUUGGUUCGGAGAAAGCGGUCGCUGAACUGUGGGGCUUCAGCCAUGCCUGACUUCAGUUGGAGUGAGCUGAAGUUGGGACAGGGAGGUGCAUGCUCCCACUUUUCAUUCUAAUUAAUCAGAACUUUAUUACUGAAUAAUAACCAAAAAGAGCAAUUUGACUGACAGCUCUC
rnacentral:lncRNA from 1 species